AUGAAGCCGCGCUGCUGGGGACAUCCUCCAUGACCCACUCAAAGCCCUUGGGAUAGUAGAUCCCUGUUCUUGGGUGUGGCACCCACAAUGCUGUCUCCGCUGACCUUGCUUCUGAAGGCUGCACCCGGCUCAUAAGGUUCAGAGUGGAUGACUAGUUACCGGAGCAGACCAGCCGAUUUUGCAAUUGCACUUCGGCCCAUCGAUGCGAGGUGGAGAAACACAAUAAAGGUUCUACUGGCAGACCUUUCCUCCUUGGUAUCGACUAGCCGAUGCGCUGAUGGCAGUUCCUUCUUGCUUGGUACCUUACCUCCCCAACCCUGGUAUUUAUAUGCCAGUUUUAGCUUUGUUAGUGCAGUCUUCCAACAUAGUUAGGGCAAUUACAAAUACACUGUAUACUUGGUAGAUUAUGAGUGAGUGAACAGGAUAACCUGACGAUAAACUGUGUUUAGUACUUAUCUGGAGGAUUACGAAUUAUUUUGUUCGCAGUCACUGCCUUCUAGUUGAGCAACCAAAAUGGGGUUUUGAGCCUGAUUGGACUCCUUUGGACAAAAACAUUGUGGAACUGAUGCUCCCAGAAUCUGAAGUCAAUUCUGGCCAAGUACAGUCCUGGGGUGGUACUAUUGCUACGUGUAGAAUCAUGAGACAGCACAACCUGUGCUAGGUGUUUCCAUAUUCAAAAAGAAAAGAACACAGCUAUAAAGCAAUUACGCUAUCUUUAUGCUAAAUGGUGCUAUAGUUAUGAAGGAUAUUUUAGAAUUUCUUGUGAACUCCAUAUGGGUAGCAACUGACAUGUCGGCUCUAUUGAUAGGUGGAUUCAGUUUAUUACCCAUCUUCCAGUGACUAACUGAACUGAUCUUGGACUAGAAUUUUAUAUAUCCUCAUGGCAGAGAUGUUCGCUUACUGGAUGCUUCUGGGUACGGUCAAGAAUUUUCGCAUACGGUACUUCCUGACCUGAUCCAUCUUCCCCAUGCAUUUCUUUCUGAUCAGGAUGAUUAACAAUCACUUUGCACAAUAAUGGAGGGGAUGAGCAUCUGGUUCCCCUUGUAGGAUGCAGAUAUAGCUGCGGUGCAAAACUAAAGACGGAGCAUUUUCGAUUGCUUCUUGUCUCUUCUUGCUGCAGGGGAAAAAAGUAAAAUAUUUUCCCUCCAGAUUUGAUACUAGGGUCGGUGAUACUAGGAGAGGUCUGACAAUGGAAUAAAGCACACAUUCUUGUAUUGUUGUUGUCAUCAGCUUCGAUUCUUCUGUUCUCUCCUUUUGGUUUCAGUGGAAGGCUAUGGUGUAGGAUGAUGUGCUGCUUUACAAACUACAGUACAAAUAUCUUUAUCUCUAGGAUCUCAAUGGUUUACUUUGUCAGAAAAACUUUGAUGAACUAGACAUUACUACAGGUGCAGUAAAAAUUCUGCUUCAAAGUUCAAAGUUUACGCUGGAAUAUUGGGGAAUGAAUGAAGGAAUGAAAGAUUUGCCAGUAGUCUGGCCUUUUUUUU